CAGGAGAGUCCUUCCAGCAGGCGGGAGAGCGGAGCGCAGACAACAGAUGUGAGAAAGGUCCCAGAGCUGUCAGGUUUCAGCAUCCUUGUGCCGAAGUAGGGAGGCGCCAACAUGAUUGAUGGUCGGAGCCUGUAUAAAACCGGUCCACCUCUAAGCAGCUGCUUGUCACACUGACCCACACCAUCUCUCUGCUGCCCUUGGGGUUUCUGUCAACCGCUGCUAGAAAGGAGAAAACCUUUUGGAGAGUAAUCUUUUGUUGUGGUCAUGCCAGAACCCACUAAGAAAGAGGAAAAUGAAGUGUCCGCCCCAGCCCCUCCCCCGGAAGAACCAAAUAAAGAGAAAGAGGCGGGAACCGCUCCAGCAAAAGAGGAAGAUGAGGCUUCUCCGCCGAGUGCCCUACCUCCAGGUUUGGGUAGUCGGGCCCUGGAGAGAAAAGAUUCAGAAUGGUCUCUUGGUGAGUCACCUGCUGGCGGGGAAGAGCAGGACAAACAGAAUGCCAACUCCCAGCUGUCCACCCUGUUUGUUGAAAAACCUCAAACCGGAUCGGUGAAAGUUGGUGCAAACAUCACCUUUGUAGCCAAAGUUAGGGCUGAAGAUCUUCUUAGAAAACCCACUGUCAAAUGGUUCAAGGGGAAAUGGAUGGAUCUGGCCAGCAAAGCCGGGAAACACCUGCAGCUGAAGGAGACCUUCGAGAGGCAAACUCGGGUAUACACAUUCGAGAUGCAGAUCAUCAAAGCCAAAGAGAACUACGCAGGGAAUUAUAGGUGUGAGGUCACCUACAAGGAUAAAUUUGACAGCUGUUCGUUUGAUCUUGAAGUCCAUGAGUCUACUGGGACUACUCCAAACAUUGACAUCAGAUCUGCCUUCAAAAGAAGUGGAGAAGGUCAAGAGGAUGCAGGGGAACUUGACUUUAGUGGUCUCCUGAAACGUAGGGAGGUGAAGCAGCAGGAAGAGGAGCCUGAGAUAGACGUGUGGGAGCUGCUGAAAAAUGCCAACCCCAACGAAUACGAGAAGAUCGCUUUCCAGUAUGGCAUCACCGACUUGCGUGGCAUGCUUAAGCGGCUCAAGCGCAUGCGCAGGGUGGAAAAGAAGAGCGCAGCUUUUGCAAAAAUUCUCGAUCCUGCAUAUCAGGUGGAUAAAGGAGGCAAAGUGAGAUUUGUCGUGGAGUUGGCAGACCCAAAACUGGAGGUGAAAUGGUUUAAAAAUGGCCAAGAGAUUCGACCCAGCACAAAAUACAUCUUUGAGCACAAAGGAAACGAGAGAAUCAUGUUUAUUAAUAACUGUUCGCUGACAGAUGAUUCGGAGUACUAUGUGACAGCUGGAGAUGAGAAAUGUUCUACUGAGCUCUUUGUAAGAGAGCCUCCAAUCAUGGUGACUAAGCAGCUGGAAGACAUGAACGCUUACUGUGGGGAGAGGGUAGAGAUGGAAGUUGAGGUGUCUGAAGAUGACGCCAAUGUAAAAUGGUUUAAGAAUGGUGAAGAGAUCUUCCCUGGUCCAAAGUCAAGAUACAAGAUUAAAGUUGAAGGCAAAAAGCACACGUUGAUCAUAGAAGGGGCAACAAAGGCUGACAGUGCGGAGUACUCAGCCAUGACAACCGGGGGACAAUCAUCUGCCAAACUCAGCGUUGACUUGAGACCUCUAAAGAUCACGACGCCUCUGACGGACCAGACAGUAAAACUUGGGAAAGAAGUAUGCUUGAAGUGUGAAAUCUCUGAAAAUGUACCAGGAAAAUGGACAAAAAAUGGCCUCCCUGUUCAGGAGGGUGAGCGUCUGAAGGUUGUUCACAAGGGAAGAAUCCACAAGUUAGUCAUAGCCAAUGCUCUCAUUGAAGAUGAAGGUGAAUAUGUAUUUACACCAGAUGCCUACAAUGUUCCUUUGUCUGCCAAAGUUCAUGUCAUCGACCCUCCCAAGAUCAUCCUGGAUGGCCUGGAUGCUGAUAACACAGUGACAGUGAUAGCUGGAAGCAAGCUUCGCCUGGAGAUUCCUGUCACAGGGGAACCACCUCCCAAAGCCAUCUGGAGCCGAGCAGAUAAGGCUAUUAUGGAAGGCAGUGGUCGGAUCAGGGCAGAAUCCUACCCUGACAGCAGCACACUGGUCAUUGACGUGGCAGAGAGAGACGACUCUGGUGUGUACAACAUAAAUCUGAAAAAUGAGGCUGGAGAAGCACAUGCAAGCAUCAAGAUUAAGGUUGUGGAUAUCCCUGAUCCUCCAGUGGCACCAAAUGUGACAGAAGUGGGAGAUGACUGGUGCAUCAUGAACUGGGAGCCUCCUGCCUAUGAUGGAGGGUCUCCAAUCUUAGGAUACUUUAUUGAGAGGAAAAAGAAACAAAGCUCCAGGUGGAUGAGACUGAAUUUCGAUCUCUGCAAAGAGACAACUUUUGAGCCCAAGAAGAUGAUUGAAGGCGUGGCCUACGAGGUCCGAAUCUUUGCGGUCAACGCCAUUGGCAUCUCCAAGCCCAGUAUGCCCUCCAAGCCCUUUGUUCCUUUGGCUGUGACCAGCCCUCCUACUCUUCUGGCUGUCGACUCCGUGACUGACUCGUCUGUGACGAUGAAGUGGAGGCCCCCAGAUCAGAUUGGCGCAGCAGGUUUAGAUGGCUAUGUGCUAGAGUAUUGCUUUGAAGGAAGUACAUCAGCAAAACAGUCUAAUGAAAAUGGGGAGACUGCCUGUGAUCUACCAGCUGAGGACUGGAUAGUUGCAAACACAGACCUGAUCGACAAGACCAAGUUCACCAUCAAUGGUCUGCCCACGGAUGCGAAGAUCUUUGUACGUGUGAAGGCUAUUAACGCGGCUGGGGCUAGUGAGCCCAAGUACUAUUCUCAGCCCAUCCUUGUGAAGGAAAUCAUUGAGCCACCAAAGAUUCGCAUCCCAAGGCAUCUGAAGCAAACUUACAUCCGCAGAGUCGGAGAAGCUGUCAAUCUGGUGAUUCCUUUUCAGGGUAAACCAAGACCAGAGUUGACCUGGAAGAAGGACGGUGAAGAAAUUGACAAGAAUCAAAUAAACAUUCGCAACUCAGAAACUGAUACCAUCAUAUUCAUCCGGAAAGCAGAGCGGAGCCACUCGGGCAAGUACGACCUGCAGGUCAAAGUGGAUAAAUACGUGGAAAAUGCCUCUAUCGACAUCCAGAUUGUUGACCGUCCAGGUCCACCCCAGACUGUGACUAUUGAAGAUGUGUGGGGAGAGAAUGUUGCCCUAACAUGGACACCACCAAAGGACGAUGGGAAUGCUGCCAUCACAGGGUACACCAUCCAGAAGGCCGACAAGAAAAGCAUGGAAUGGUUCACCGUCAUUGAACAUUACCACCGAACCAACGCCACCAUUACUGAGCUGGUCAUAGGGAACGAGUAUUACUUCCGGGUCUUUGCUGAAAACAUGUGCGGCCUUAGCGAGGAUGCAACUAUGACGAAGGAGAGUGCAGUGAUUGCCAAGGACGGUAAGAUCUAUAAAAAUCCAGUGUACGAAGACUUCAAUUUCACAGAGGCCCCCAUGUUUACUCAACCUUUGGUUAACACCUAUGCCAUCGCUGGUUACAAUGCCACCCUGAACUGCAGCGUCCGAGGAAAUCCCAAGCCCAAAAUCACCUGGAUGAAAAACAAAGUGGCUAUUGUGGAUGACCCAAGAUACAGAAUGUUCAGCAACCAAGGAGUCUGUACCCUGGAGAUCCGCAAGCCUAGUCCUUAUGACGGAGGCACGUACUGCUGCAAAGCAGUCAAUGACCUCGGGACGGUGGAGAUUGAAUGCAAACUGGAGGUGAAAGCGAGUGACUGAAUGCGGCAGAGCAUGGCUCAGAGCAUUUGACGUCCAUGAAAACGAAUGAGUGAUCCCCAUGCAUUCUGAAUUCUUUGCAUCAAGGAAUGGACCUGUAUAUACGUGGCAUCAUUUCUACCAAUAUGUGGUGUGGUGGGCUGUCCUUCUGCAGGCUCCUCCUGCAAGGCGUGCCUCCAAACAUAAUUGAUUCCUAUUUGCGAGACUUACAAUCAAGCAAUCCCGAGGAAUACUGAGGGCAGGGCAUUGCUUCUAGACACACCCACUGCUUUGAAAUCUGAUUGAAAAUGGAUAGUACUUUCUGGUUUUCUCCCAGGCCCCCAAGUGUGGUCACUUUCUUUCUUUCCUCCUAACUUUGAAGAAAGUAAAAAAAAAAUAUAAUAAUUGUUUGCACAGAUUGCUUAAUUAAAAAUUGCAAACAAA